rnacentral:lncRNA from 1 species
GCCAGAUUCUUUUGAAAGCAGCAGGGCAGUUGAGCAACAUUGCCCAUCAAAUAAUCUCAGGGUUCAGCUUCUGCAUAUGCUCAACAACUGUAAUGUUGUCCUCUCUACCUCAUCCUCACCGCCAAAUCUGAUCGGGCUGAUCAUGUACCCGAGUACAAGAUUCAAAAUCGAUCAAAUGAAAGUGAUCUCAUUGACCCACGUAGCAGAUCCUUCCAAAAAAUAGAUCGACCAUGACGGUCUUCCAUUAAUGACCAUGAACUCCUUCGCUCCAAAGCCUCCUUCUCCUCCCGCGGUUGGUUGAAAAGAAGAUCCCUCUACACCCCCCUUCGCUUGCCCUUCGUUGAGAAAGCCUGCUGCUACUACUGUUCUUUAUCCUUACACCAGCUGCCCUCCCGUUGUUAUCGAUUGAAUGAGUUGUCGUAAAGAAGAUUGAAGAUUCCUUUGUGGCCUUCUUGGCUUGGGCUUCUUUGAAAGAUCUUCCCACUGCCGUUGUUCUUCAGCGUUGCCACAACUGCUCUCCCGAUGUUCUUAAUUUCAAUCAUGC